rnacentral:rRNA from 1 species
AAAAGGGAGCGAUUCCGGCGGAGGAUGGGCAUGCGGCGCAUUAGCUAGUUGGCGGGGUAACGGCCCACCAAGGCGACGAUGCGUAGGGGUUCUGAGAGGAAGGUCCCCCACACUGGUACUGAGACACGGACCAGACUCCUACGGGAGGCAGCAGUGAGGAAUAUUGGUCAAUGGGCGGGAGCCUGAACCAGCCAAGUCGCGUGAGGGAAGACGGUCCUAUGGAUUGUAAACCUCUUUAGGCGGGGAGCAAUGCCGGGCACGCGUGCCCGGAGGGAGAGUACCCGCAGAAUAAGCAUCGGCUAACUCCGUGCCAGCAGCCGCGGUAAUACGGAGGAUGCGAGCGUUAUCCGGAUUUAUUGGGUUUAAAGGGUGCGUAGGCGGAUUUUUAAGUCAGCGGUAAAAUGUCCGGGCUCAACCCGGGCCGGCCGUUGAAACUGGGGAUCUUGAGUGGGCGAGAAGUAUGCGGAAUGCGUGGUGUAGCGGUGAAAUGCAUAGAUAUCACGCAGAACUCCGAUUGCGAAGGCAGCAUACCGGCGCCCGACUGACGCUGAGGCACGAAAGCGUGGGGAUCGAACAGGAUUAGAUACCCUGGUAGUCCACGCAGUAAACGAUGAAUGCUAGUUGUCCGGUUCUUUGGGACUGG